rnacentral:rRNA from 1 species
GGAUGCGAUCAUACCAGCACUAAAGCACCGGAUCCCAUCAAAACUCCAAAGUUAAGCGUGCUUGGGCGAGAGUAGUACUAGAAUGGGUGACCUCCUGGGAAGUCCUCGUGUUGCAUUCC